rnacentral:rRNA from 1 species
UACGUAGGGGGCCAGCGUUGUCCGGAAUCAUUGGGCGUAAAGCGCGCGUAGGCGGUCAGGUAAGUCCGGUGUGAAAGUCAAAGGCUCAACCUUUGAAUGCCGCUGGAAACUGCCUGACUUGAGUCCGGUAGGGGCGAGUGGAAUUCCUGGUGUAGCGGUGAAAUGCGCAGAUAUCAGGAGGAACACCCGUGGCUAAGGCGGUUCUCUAGUACGGUACUGACGCUGAGACGCGAAAGCGUGGGGAGCGAACAGG